AAAUCAUCAGCUUUCUGCAGCAUCAGACUUAGCAGCAUCUUCCUGUCCCAAGAGAAGAGGGGAUGGGAGGAUGGCAUGGUUCAGGGCUUAGGGGAGGAUAGGGGAGAAAAAGUGGAAGCAAAGGGAGAGGCCCAGGAAGGAUUUUGUUGCGACAUGUUACCUGGGCUGCACCUGCUGUAUGCAAGAGAAGAGGCUGGGAGUCCCCUCUGCAGGGUGUUCAUGCCCCAUCUCUGUGCCACGAGGAGUUGGGCUGCUGAAGGGUGAAGUGCUACUAGGAAAACUGAGAAAAUAUGAGCCAGAACUUCCCCCAUCAUGGUUACUUCCUCCUUUGCAAUAAGAAUACCCAUCUUGCCCUGAGCCACUUCCAUGCUGACUAUAACCAGAGGACUGUCCUGAGCCAGACCCAUGUUGGCCG
rnacentral:lncRNA from 1 species